AGAAGGGAGCUUGCUCCCGGACGUUAGCGGCGGACGGGUGAGUAACACGUAGGUAACCUGCCCCUUAGACUGGGAUAACUCCGGGAAACCGGAGCUAAUACGGGAUAAUAAAGAGAAUCACCUGAUUCUCUUUUGAAAGACGGCGUCUAGCUGUCACUAAGGGAUGGGCCUGCGGCGCAUUAGCUAGUUGGUAAGGUAACGGCUUACCAAGGCGACGAUGCGUAGCCGACCUGAGAGGGUGAUCGGCCACACUGGGACUGAGACACGGCCCAGACUCCUACGGGAGGCAGCAGUAGGGAAUCUUCCGCAAUGGACGAAAGUCUGACGGAGCAACGCCGCGUGAGUGAGGAAGGCCUUCGGGUCGUAAAGCUCUGUUGUGAGGGAAGAACAAGUACCGGGGUAACUACCGGUACCUUGACGGUACCUCACCAGAAAGCCACGGCUAACUACGUGCCAGCAGCCGCGGUAAUACGUAGGUGGCAAGCGUUGUCCGGAAUUAUUGGGCGUAAAGCGCGCGCAGGCGGCUUCUUAAGUCUGAUGUGAAAUCUCGGGGCUCAACCCCGAGCGGCCAUUGGAAACUGGGAAGCUUGAGUGCAGAAGAGGAGAGUGGAAUUCCACGUGUAGCGGUGAAAUGCGUAGAUAUGUGGAGGAACACCAGUGGCGAAGGCGACUCUCUGGUCUGUAACUGACGCUGAGGCGCGAAAGCGUGGGGAGCAAACAGGAUUAGAUACCCUGGUAGUCCACGCCGUAAAGAUGAGUGCUAGGUGUUAGGGGUUUCGAUGCCCGUAGUGCCGAAGUAAACACAUAAGCAC
rnacentral:rRNA from 2 species